rnacentral:rRNA from 1 species
UGAUCAGCUUUUAAAGGCGGCGUAAAGCUGUCGCUAUGGGGAUGGGCCCCGCGGUGCAUUAGCUAGUUGGCAAGGUAAAGGGCUUACCAAGGCGAUGAUGCAUAGCCCGAGUUGAGAGACUGAUCGGGCCACAUUGGGGACUGAGACACGGGCCCAAACUCCUACGGGAGGCAGCAGUAGGGAAUCUUCCACAAUGGACGCAAGUCUGAUGGAGCAAACGCCGCGUGAGUGAAGAAGGUUUCGGAUCGUAAAAAGCUCUGUUGUUGGUGAAGAAGGAUAGAGGUAGUAACUGGCCCUUUAUUUGACGGUAAUCAACCAGAAAGUCACGGGCUAACUACGUGCCCAGCAGCCGCGGUAAAU